rnacentral:rRNA from 1 species
GGUUAAGCGACUAAGCGUACACGGUGGAUGCCCUGGCAGUCAGAGGCGAUGAAGGACGUGCUAAUCUGCGAUAAGCGCCGGUAAGGUGAUAUGAACCGUUAUAACCGGCGAUUUCCGAAUGGGGAAACCCAGUGUGAUUCGUCACACUAUCAUUAACUGAAUCCAUAGGUUAAUGAGGCGAACCGGGGGAACUGAAACAUCUAAGUACCCCGAGGAAAAGAAAUCAACCGAGAUUCCCCCAGUAGCGGCGAGCGAACGGGGAGGAGCCCAGAGCCUGAAUCAGCAUGUGUGUUAGUGGAAGCGUCUGGAAAGGCGCGCGAUACAGGGUGACAGCCCCGUACACAAAAGCGCAUGUGCUGUGAGCUCGAUGAGUAGGGCGGGACACGUGGUAUCCUGUCUGAAUAUGGGGGGACCAUCCUCCAAGGCUAAAUACUCCUGACUGACCGAUAGUGAACCAGUACCGUGAGGGAAAGGCGAAAAGAACCCCGGCGAGGGGAGUGAAAAAGAACCUGAAACCGUGUACGUACAAGCAGUGGGAGCACCCUUCGGGGUGUGACUGCGUACCUUUUGUAUAAUGGGUCAGCGACUUAUAUUCUGUAGCAAGGUUAACCGUAUAGGGGAGCCGGAGGGAAACCGAGUCUUAAUUGGGCGUUAAGUUGCAGGGUAUAGACCCGAAACCCGGUGAUCUAGCCAUGGGCAGGUUGAAGGUUGGGUAACACUAACUGGAGGACCGAACCGACUAAUGUUGAAAAAUUAGCGGAUGACCUGUGGCUGGGGGUGAAAGGCCAAUCAAACCGGGAGAUAGCUGGUUCUCCCCGAAAGCUAUUUAGGUAGCGCCUCGUGAAUUCAUCUCCGGGGGUAGAGCACUGUUUCGGCUAGGGGGCCAUCCCGGCUUACCAACCCGAUGCAAACUGCGAAUACCGGAGAAUGUUAUCACGGGAGACACACGGCGGGUGCUAACGUCCGUCGUGAAGAGGGAAACAACCCAGACCGCCAGCUAAGGUCCCAAAGUCAUGGUUAAGUGGGAAACGAUGUGGGAAGGCCCAGACAGCCAGGAUGUUGGCUUAGAAGCAGCCAUCAUUUAAAGAAAGCGUAAUAGCUCACUGGUCGAGUCGGCCUGCGCGGAAGAUGUAACGGGGCUAAACCAUGCACCGAAGCUGCGGCAGCGAACGUAUCACCCAAGACAACUUUACGGAGUUGACGAUUGACGGAGCGAAGCGACGUCAAAGCGUUCAUUAAAGUCGAGUUGGCUUAGGGAUACGUUCGUUGGGUAGGGGAGCGUUCUGUAAGCCUGUGAAGGUGUGUCGUGAGGCAUGCUGGAGGUAUCAGAAGUGCGAAUGCUGACAUAAGUAACGAUAAAGCGGGUGAAAAGCCCGCUCGCCGGAAGACCAAGGGUUCCUGUCCAACGUUAAUCGGGGCAGGGUGAGUCGACCCCUAAGGCGAGGCCGAAAGGCGUAGUCGAUGGGAAACGGGUUAAUAUUCCCGUACUUGGUGUUACUGCGAAGGGGGGACGGAGAAGGCUAUGUUGGCCGGGCGACGGUUGUCCCGGUUUAAGCGUGUAGGUGUGUGUUCCAGGUAAAUCCGGUUCACUUUAACACUGAGGCGUGACGACGAGGCACUACGGUGCUGAAGCAACAAAUGCCCUGCUUCCAGGAAAAGCCUCUAAGCAUCAGGUAACAUCAAAUCGUACCCCAAACCGACACAGGUGGUCAGGUAGAGAAUACCAAGGCGCUUGAGAGAACUCGGGUGAAGGAACUAGGCAAAAUGGUGCCGUAACUUCGGGAGAAGGCACGCUGACACGUAGGUGAAGUGAUUUACUCAUGGAGCUGAAGUCAGUCGAAGAUACCAGCUGGCUGCAACUGUUUAUUAAAAACACAGCACUGUGCAAACACGAAAGUGGACGUAUACGGUGUGACGCCUGCCCGGUGCCGGAAGGUUAAUUGAUGGGGUCAGCGCAAGCGAAGCUCCUGAUCGAAGCCCCGGUAAACGGCGGCCGUAACUAUAACGGUCCUAAGGUAGCGAAAUUCCUUGUCGGGUAAGUUCCGACCUGCACGAAUGGCGUAAUGAUGGCCAGGCUGUCUCCACCCGAGACUCAGUGAAAUUGAACUCGCUGUGAAGAUGCAGUGUACCCGCGGCAAGACGGAAAGACCCCGUGAACCUUUACUAUAGCUUGACACUGAACAUUGAGCCUUGAUGUGUAGGAUAGGUGGGAGGCUUUGAAGUGUGGACGCCAGUCUGCAUGGAGCCGACCUUGAAAUACCACCCUUUAAUGUUUGAUGUUCUAACGUGGACCCGUAAUCCGGGUUGCGGACAGUGUCUGGUGGGUAGUUUGACUGGGGCGGUCUCCUCCUAAAGAGUAACGGAGGAGCACGAAGGUUGGCUAAUCCUGGUCGGACAUCAGGAGGUUAGUGCAAUGGCAUAAGCCAGCUUGACUGCGAGCGUGACGGCGCGAGCAGGUGCGAAAGCAGGUCAUAGUGAUCCGGUGGUUCUGAAUGGAAGGGCCAUCGCUCAACGGAUAAAAGGUACUCCGGGGAUAACAGGCUGAUACCGCCCAAGAGUUCAUAUCGACGGCGGUGUUUGGCACCUCGAUGUCGGCUCAUCACAUCCUGGGGCUGAAGUAGGUCCCAAGGGUAUGGCUGUUCGCCAUUUAAAGUGGUACGCGAGCUGGGUUUAGAACGUCGUGAGACAGUUCGGUCCCUAUCUGCCGUGGGCGCUGGAGAACUGAGGGGGGCUGCUCCUAGUACGAGAGGACCGGAGUGGACGCAUCACUGGUGUUCGGGUUGUCAUGCCAAUGGCACUGCCCGGUAGCUAAAUGCGGAAGAGAUAAGUGCUGAAAGCAUCUAAGCACGAAACUUGCCCCGAGAUGAGUUCUCCCUGAGACUUUAGGUCUCCUGAAGGAACGUUGAAGACGACGACGUUGAUAGGCCGGGUGUGUAAGCGCAGCGAUGCGUUGAGCUAACCGGUACUAAUGAACCGUGAGGCUUAACCUU